GUAGGGAAUAUUGCGCAAUGGGGGAAACCCUGACGCAGCGACGCCGCGUGAGUGAUGAAGGCCUUCGGGUCGUAAAGCUCUGUUGCAGGGGAAUAAAAAAAUGAAGGUACCCUGUGAGGAAGGAUCGGCUAACUUCGUGCCAGCAGCCGCGGUAAGACGAGGAAUCCUAGCGUUGCUCGGAAUCAUUGGGCGUAAAGAGGGCGUAGGUGGCUUGGUAAGUCAGGUGUGAAAGCCCAGGGCUCAACCCUGGAAGUGCAUUUGAUACUGCUGAGCUUGAGUGUCGGAGAGGUUACCGGAAUACCUGGUGUAGUGGUGAAAUACGUAGAUAUCAGGUGGAACACCGGAGGCGAAGGCGGGUAACUGGACGAACACUGACACUGAGGCCCGAAAGCGUGGGGAUCAAACAGGAUUAGAUACCCUAGUAGUCC
rnacentral:rRNA from 1 species